AUACGUAGGGGGCGAGCGUUGUCCGGAAUUAUUGGGCGUAAAGCGCGCGCAGGCGGUCCCUUAAGUCUGGUGUAUAAGUGCGGGGCUCAACCCCGUGAGGCACUGGAAACUGGGGGACUUGAGUGCGGGAGAGGAAAGCGGAAUUCCCGGUGUAGCGGUGAAAUGCGUAGAGAUCGGGAGGAACACCAGUGGCGAAGGCGGCUUUCUGGACCGUAACUGACGCUGAGGCGCGAAAGCGUGGGGAGCAAACAGGAUUAGAUACCCUGGUAGUCCACGCCGUAAACGAUGAGUGCUAGGUGUUGCGGGGGUUUACCCUGCAGUGCCGAAGGAAACCCAAUAAGCACUCCGCCUGGGGAGUACGGCCGCAAGGCUGAA
rnacentral:rRNA from 1 species